rnacentral:lncRNA from 1 species
GAAUACAAGAAUCUGUUUCUUGGCCUCAUUAUCUGUGUUCUUCUGGAUGUUACUGUUGUACUUCCAUUUUGUUGUGCUUGGAGGUAGUACCGUAGAUCAAUCUGUCAAAUUACAGUUACAAGCCGGUCCUGUUUACACAGAAUUGAAGCCUACCCGUGUAACUAGUGAUCCUCAGAAAGAAAACCAAAACACUGAAUCGAAACCUAUCCAUGUAACCAGUGAUCAUCAGAUGGACAACCAAAACACUGUAUCGGCACCUAUCCGUCUAACCGAUGAUCAUCAGGUGGACAACCAAAACACAGAAUCAACCCCUACCGUUGUAGCCCCAGCUGCUCAUCAAACGGAGUCCCCUGCAAAAGCCAUCCAGAUUCAUGAAGCGGAGAAAUAUCCGUUCAUGAAAGCAUUGAGAACUGCUGAAAACAAGAAUGAUCCAUGUGGUGGGAGAUAUAUUUAUGUGCAUGACCUUCCCCCGAGGUUUAAUGAGGAUAUGCUGAAGGAGUGUAGGAGUUUAAGCCUUUGGACAAACAUGUGCAAGUUCACAACUAAUGCAGGACUUGGUCCUCCACUUGAGAAUGCUGAGGGGGUGUUCGGGGAUACGGGUUGGUAUGCCACGAAUCAGUUUGCCGUGGACGUCAUAUUUAGCAAUCGGAUGAAGCAAUAUGAGUGCUUGACAAAUGAUUCAUCUGUCGCAGCAGCUAUAUUUGUUCCCUUUUACGCCGGGUUUGACAUUGCCCGGUACCUUUGGGGAUUCAAUACAUCAAGGAGGGAUGCGGCUUCUCUCGAUCUGGUUGAUUGGCUUAUGAAGAGGCCAGAAUGGGGCAUUAUGGGUGGCAAAGACCAUUUUCUUGUUGCAGGAAGGAUAACAUGGGAUUUUAGGAGACUGUCAGAGGAAGAUUCAGAUUGGGGUAACAAGCUUCUCUUUUUACCAGCUGCUAAGAAUAUGUCCAUGCUUGUGGUCGAAUCUAGCCCAUGGAAUGCUAAUGAUUUUGGUAUUCCAUAUCCCACAUACUUCCAUCCAGCUAAAGAUGCUGAUGUUUUCAUCUGGCAGGAGCGCAU